UUUUUCUCCUCACAUAGUCUAUCCUUGAUAUGUUCAUCCUAACCGGUGACGGAUUUUCUCUUUGAUGGUAUUCUAUCCAGCAUUCGAUAGAUGUUAUUCCUACUUUUUGUUCAGAUGGUAUAUCCUUGAUAUGUUCAUCCUAACCGAUGACGGGUAUCCUCCUUGACAUUCCCAGGAAAGUCUAUCCUUGAUAUGUUCAUCCUAACCGAUGACAGAUACUCUCACCUUUG
rnacentral:lncRNA from 1 species